UAGUUCUGUUUAUACUGGAUAUCGAUUCGGUCUAACCGUGUUUUUUCUGUCGUUAGUCUGGUACACUAUAAUUACCAUUCGAAAUUCAUAUUUAUUUUGUUUUGUUCACUUGAAAUGUGUGAGGUUUUAUUGUUUUUUGGUAGAAAACCCAAAAUUAUUAUUAUUUGUUUGGUUUCAUGUUAUAUGCAUUUUAGGCUGUUUUGAUGUCUAACCAAUGGUUUCAUUUAAAAAUUUCUAAACGAAUGAAAAAUCAAACUAAAUAUAAAUAAUAGUUGAAGAAAAAAUACAUGUAAUAUUAUUUUUGUUGUUUGUAAAAACAAAUUAAAAUGACAUUUUAAAAUUAUGUUCAUGUGUAUAAGAUUAUCUAAUAUUAUUUUUCUGUUUGAAAUUUCGUAUAUGUUAGACAUAGUAUAAAAUCUGUAUAUUUAUAAUCAUUGAAAUUUUUUAUUGAGUUUAAUAAUAUAAAAUUUAUUAAUAGUAUUUUUAUCUAAUUUAUAUUUAAUCGUUAUUUUAAUUUAAUUUUUCCCUAACUCUAAUAUAAUUUAUAUAGUAAAAUAAUUAGAUUUUGAAUGAAUACUGAUAUUUCAAUCUUUUUAUUUCUAUGUUAUUGUUUACAGAAAUGGAUAUUAAGAAAAUACACAAAUAAGCCCAUUUGUAGCUUUUAAACCCACCAUACAAUAAUAAAAAAAUGUGCCAUGAAUAUUCGAUUGCUUUUGUUUGAUAUCUGACCCAUUACAAAAAAAAUCAGUUUACUCAUACCGAUUAAGAAAAAAAACUUUACCUUCCAUUCGGCCAUUUACCGUCUGCAGACUGCAUCUAUUUGAAGAAAGAAAAUCAAUCACCGGCUUGUUAAGACAAACAUCUCGCCUCCUCUCCGAUCCGUCACAUCAGCAUCCUCUUAAUCGGUGAUGAGAUCAACCUUUACAACGAACCUCCUUCCACGAUCGAUUUUACUUUCGUGCAGUCAUGGAAGAAAGUCACUAACAUGGACCUACCGUAGACUCCGUCUUCAUUCAUGAAACCUAGUCCUUAUACUGUGUCUUCGAUUCUGACGCAACUAUUCGCCAACUUCGUCCUCCCUUAAGCAUCUGAAAUUUCCGAGAUAGAGAUUGUGGAGUCGGUAAAUUCUUUUGGAAGGUUUGGAGUUUUUUUCUUGGUCAAAUGGAAGGUUUGGAGUUUAAGAAGAGGAAAAGGUGAUCGUAUGAUUGAUUAGUGCCAUAAACAAAAUAAGUGUUGAUUUGGAUAUUUAAGAAGAAGAUCUAUUGAUUUGAAAUGAAAAUGGUGAGAACAUUGGGAAAGAAACAGAAAGAUGAUAGAGAUGUGAGUUCUGAGAAAGAAAGAUAAAGAAGAUAAAAAUUUCGGGCAGGGGUAAAACGGGAAACGGGGAGACAAUUGUCUACAGUGAAUGUUUGUUUUUAAUGGUUUUGGGUAGUUAGCUAAUUUUGUUCCCAUUUGUGUAUAUCUAGCAAAUUAUCUCAAAAAUAAACCCGUAGUGAGUGAGACUUGUAUUACCUGACGUUGUCGCUGUUCCAGCCGCAACUUCUCUGUGUUGGCCAUUUCAAACUCACUGUUUUCCAGAUACCUCUGGUCUGGUCUCA